GGAGGGAUACCCAAGCGGUCAACGGGGGCAGACUGUAAAUCUGCUGGCUCAGCCUUCGGAGGUUCGAAUCCUUCUCCCUCCACCA
rnacentral:tRNA from 1 species